GUGCUAGUUUCAGCGGCACAUAUACUAAAAUUGGAAUGAUGCAGAGAAGAUUAGCAUGUCCCCUGCAUAAGGAUGACAUGCAAUUUCAUGAAGCAUUUCAUAUUUUA